rnacentral:rRNA from 1 species
UACGGGGGAUGCAAGCGUUAUCCGGAUUUAUUGGGUUUAAAGGGUGCGUAGGCUGUGAGGUAAGUCAGCGGUGAAAUGCCCCCGCUCAACGGGGUGAAGUGUCAUUGAUACUGCCUUGCUGGAAUGCGGAUGCCGUGGGAGGAAUGUGUGGUGUAGCGGUGAAAUGCAUAGAUAUCACACAGAACACCGAUUGCGAAGGCAUCUCACGAAUCCGCGAUUGACGCUGAUGCACGAAAGCGUGGGUAUCAAACAGG